rnacentral:rRNA from 1 species
CCUACGGGGUGCAGCAGUGGGGAAUAUUGGACAAUGGGCGAAAGCCUGAUCCAGCCAUGCCGCGUGUGUGAAGAAGGCCUUCGGGUUGUAAAGCACUUUCAGUGGGGAAGAAAGCCUUGGGGCUAAUACCCUCGAGGAAGGACAUCACCCACAGAAGAAGCACCGGCUAACUCCGUGCCAGCAGCCGCGGUAAUACGGAGGGUGCGAGCGUUAAUCGGAAUUACUGGGCGUAAAGCGCGCGUAGGCGGUCUGAUAAGCCGGUUGUGAAAGCCCCGGGCUCAACCUGGGAACGGCAUCCGGAACUGUCAGGCUAGAGUGCAGGAGAGGAAGGUAGAAUUCCCGGUGUAGCGGUGAAAUGCGUAGAGAUCGGGAGGAAUACCAGUGGCGAAGGCGGCCUUCUGGACUGACACUGACGCUGAGGUGCGAAAGCGUGGGUAGCAAACAGGAUUAGAUACCCAGUAGUC